AACCGAUUCUGUAAUUGGAAUGAACUAAGCUUAAAACCCUUUAUGAGUAACAAUUGGAGGGCAAGUCUGGUGCCAGCAGCCGCGGUAAUUCCAGCUCCAAUAGCGUAUAUUAAAGUUGUUGCAGUUAAAAAGCUCGUAGUUGGACUUCGAUUAAUAUAUUAUUUGGCUCCCAGAGCCACUUAUUAUCAUUAAUCUUCCCCCUUAUGCCUCCGCGUAAGGGAUUUUACUU
rnacentral:rRNA from 1 species